CCUCGCAUAAUCUUGAAGAUUUGUCCUACAUCCUUUAUGCCGGCUAAAAUCAUAUCUCAUUUUAAACUAUACUUUCUUCACCAUAUUUUGAUCCAAUAAACCACACAGAGUACAUGAUUAAGAGAGGCACCUGUUGACUAUUUAAAAUAUGUGAAACCUUUUCACAUAAAAUGGUAGAACUAAGAACAACCUCACAGAUGUAAUAUGACUCUGACCUGGGGCCCCAUUGCAACCAUCUCCUUGUCAGUCAGGAAGCACAGCUGAUGCUAACGCUGCCAGACACUCAGCUCCAGACUAUGCAGCACAUCCACUGAGCUUACUGAUGAUGAUGAUGCAUACGCAGAGAACAUGCAGUCAGCUGUGGUCCGGGGAAGUCCAGACCUCCGCUGUGACACUUAUCAAAACAGGCCAUCACAUCGCUGGCAAUAUACUAUGCUGGUUAUGUAGUGGGAUAUCACUGCCACUGGCUGAAUGACUGAGUGGGAUAAUGAUGGUGGCUAAGAUGGUAGGUAAUUGGUGUCGUAAUGGUAAAAGAAAAUGGGGGAUGGGUUUGUAUUGAUUAAGGAUGACUCACUGGAUCAAUUUGGAUUUCUAGCCUUCUGGAGGGGGGUGAUGUAAUACUACUGCAUCACUAAUUUAGGGAUUUUGAGAUUAAAGUAGAUGCGUUCUUUCCCAAAAACAAUGUAAAUACAUUUUCAAGAUCUCUUGUAAUAAAUACUGGCCCACUAGACUUAGACUAGCACUUAGCAACAGCCUCAUAUCUGGUUUUAUGGUUGGAUGUGACAGAGCAUAUUUUCAGAUGUUUAUGAGAUGUUGAGAUGGUUCAAAUCAUUUUGAUCAAGCCUGGGAGUGUUCAUUCAUUAAUACAUUACAUUUGCACUCUUUCAAGUGAGUCUUUAAUCAAAUGAAUGUGGUUUACCAAUCAAAUGUGUUUUUCUCUGUGGUGUUCUUUCCUUUUUUCUAAGAACGGGGAUUCUCUCUAAAUGGUUUAAAUGAGCUCUGUAGUAGUGACAUUGAUUUGAAUCAAUCAAUGGUUUCAAUAAAUAAAUCUUGCCUACCUUUUCUAGUGUUUUAUAUAAGCAUAUUGGACACUACUACACUCACCCAUAAUGAAACAGUGGGUAAUGGCAUAUGGGUAAACCAGUCUUAAAACUGUUACCAAAAGAUUACAAUCUCUGGGACAGCAUCCAAACAGAUGCUCAUUUGGUAUGAUGAUCUUUUUCAGAGGCCUGCUACUGGAGGCAGCUGCUAAGCAGUCCAUUGUGUGUUCGACUCCAUACCACUCCCUUAUUACAGGCCAACUCCCAACACUUCCGGAGAGCAAUAAUGUUCCAAUCAUCUACUGCCAUCUUCUGGCUGUAUUGAAAACCAGUGUCAUGUUUAUUGAUUAUUGGAAAAAUACGUCCCAGGAGACUGGCGAUCUUGUAUGAAUUCACAAUUUCCAAUAGAUCCACAUUAGGGUGUUUUGGUUCAUCAAAACAAACAUUGAUGAAGGUCUAUUAAAAACUUUGAUGAGAAAUUGAAGAACAUGAAAUUAACCAUGAGUAUGAUCAUGCUGAAUCAUUUCAAUGUGUUAGAUGUAGAGUUUUACUUCCUGUUUCUCUGACUAGCAGUGUCCCUGUUUCCUAGUGACUAUAAUGUUGUUGCCUAGUGACUAUAAUGUUGUUGCCUAGUGACUAUCAUCUUGGUUUUGAAUGAAGUGAACUCCAACUGUCUCGAGGUAAUAUUGUAUGUUUAUCUUAUGACAACAUUACAUUUCAACACAAAUGUCUUAUAAAGCAAAAGAAAACCUUUAUUUUUCUAUUUAGAAUAUACAAAACAGUACCUAGUUGUCAUAAAGAUAAAACACAAGUACAAGAUCAUUUGUUUUUACAGUGAAGGUGAUUGGGAAUGAUUUGUGUUGGUUGGUAGGCCUGUUGUGGGGUGGAGUAGCUGCAGACCAACAUGACCAAUGAUGAGGGCCCGACAUGCAGAAAGUAGAAGACUGAUCAUUAUGGCUCCUAUAGCAGAGUUCAUCUUGUCUUGGUGCAAGGUGGUUGGGUAGAGGUGCUUCUUGCAACCACCACCACUUGACAAUGCACAGCCUUUUAUUACACUGGAAAGAGACAACAGAGAAUGGUGGUAGAAUCAGUCUGCUGACAUGGGAAUAAGGCUUUAGUAAAUUUAGCCUACGUGCAAGAGCAGCAUGCAUACCGACACUUUCCCCAUGACUCUUUACCAUAACAUCUGUAACAGAGCAUGAAUGGCAUGGUGAUAUUCAAUUCAGGAGUAGAUCAUUGAUUUUGAAUUGAAAAAAAUCAGAUCAGUUACCUGCAGGGAGGAUGUUAUCCUUAGAGUAUCCCUUCAUGUUCAUGUUUCCUGCUGGGUUGUACGGGCCCAGCAGGAAAAUUAUCUCCAUUAACCCAUAAGAGUCUAAGCCAUGUCUAAGCCAGGGGUGGGGAGGUUCUACUAAGCUAUAUGGAAUUGUUUUAAGAAGGUGAUACUAAGGAUCAUUUAGGUAUAUGAUUUUGAUUUUAAGACCCCUUGAAGUAUCAAAAAAAUAUACAUGAAUUUUUUUUUGAUAUUUUUGGCUUUACCACUAUUAACCCAUUCAAAUGCAUUUAAUAACAGAUUCACUACAUGGAACAACAGAUAGUCCCCCCAAAAAACUAAAGAAGGUUCAUUCUGAAGUGUCUGUCCUAUAUCUGAAAGAUAUAAGAAAGAUCAGGGAACAUUUGUUUUUAUUUCUGUUUUUACAUGUAUUUAACCCCUUAUUUCAACUGGUACCGGGGACCUUCAGACGAGUCUUGUGGGGCCCUCAUGAAAAAGUACUACUGAAUUACUACUCAUCACUAAUACACAAGAUCUACACAAACGUACUGGUUUUACUACUUGAUUGCUAUUGAGAUGUGUAAUAAACCAGUAGUGAUUUAUGUAGUAAUUUAAGAAGUAAUGAGUGAUAAAUUAGGAUGUUUCACUACUGGUGAACACUACAUAUUUCCUACUCAAACUACAUAAUUCUUUCUUAUUGAUUGAUUAACUACUGAGCGUUUGGGUAUCUACUACUUAAAACCUACACAUUCCGACAUGUUCACUAUUGAAUUACUACAUAACGGCUACACAUUACUGCUGUAUGUAAAUGUUAUAUUUCAGUUUAUAAUUUUUUAUAAAUUUGCAAAAAUGUCUAAAAACCCAUUUUUGCUUUGUCAUUA